CCUACGGGGGGCAGCAGUGGGGAAUAUUGCACAAUGGGCGAAAGCCUGACCCAGCAACGCCGCGUGAAGGAAGAAGGCUUUCGGGUUGUAAACUUCUUUUCUCAGGGACGAAGCAAGUGGCGGUACCUGAGGAAUAAGCCACGGCUAACUACGUGCCAGCAGCCGCGGUAAUACGUAGGUGGCAAGCGUUAUCCGGAUUUACUGGGUGUAAAGGGAGCGUAGGCGGUUUAGCAAGUCAGAAGGGAAAGCCCGGGGCUCAACUCCGGGACUGCUUUUGAAACUGUUGAACUAUAUUGCAGGAGAGG
rnacentral:rRNA from 1 species